rnacentral:ncRNA from 1 species
AUCUUCAGGGCAGGGAGCAUUUCCCGACCGGCGGUAUAGUCCGCGAGCUUCACGGCUGAACCGGUGUGAUUCCGGUACCGACAGUAUAGUCUGGAUGGGAGAAGAUU